rnacentral:rRNA from 1 species
CCAUUGGAGGGCAAGUCUGGUGCCAGCAGCCGCGGUAAUUCCAGCUCCAAUAGCGUAUAUUAAAGUUGUUGCAGUUAAAAAGCUCGUAGUUGAACCUUGGGUCUGGCUGGCCGGUCCGCCUCACCGCGAGUACUGGUCCGGCUGGACCUUUCCUUCUGGGGAACCUCAUGGCCUUCACUGGCUGUGGGGGGAACCAGGACUUUUACUGUGAAAAAAUUAGAGUGUUCAAAGCAGGCCUUUGCUCGAAUACAUUAGCAUGGAAUAAUAGAAUAGGACGUGCGGUUCUAUUUUGUUGGUUUCUAGGACCGCCGUAAUGAUUAAUAGGGAUAGUCGGGGGCGUCUGUAUUCUAGUGAUCGGAGUAAACCGACUAGGGAUCGGACGAUGCCGACUAGGGAUCGGACUAUGCCGACUAGGGAUCGGACUAUGCCGACUAGGGAUCGGACUAUGCCGACUAGGGAUCUGUCAGCGCCAACGGGCG